rnacentral:misc_RNA from 1 species
GAUGAAGAACGCAGCGAAAUGCGAUAAGUAAUGUGAAUUGCAGAAUUCAGUGAAUCAUCGAAUCUUUGAACGCACCUUGCGCCCUUUGGCCAUUCCGAAGGGCAUGCCUGUUUGAGUAUCAUGAACACCUCAACUCUUUAUGGUUUUCCAUGAUGAGCUUGGACUCUGGGGGUUUUGCUGGCUCACAGUCGGCUCCUCUAAAAUGAAUCAGCUUACCAGUGUUUGGUGGGUAUCAUGGGUGUGAUAACUAUCUACGCUUGUGGUUUUUCCACCAGGUAACCUUCAGCAGUGGAGGUUCGCUGGAGCUCAUAGAUGUCUCUCCUCGGUGAGGACAGCCCGUUGAAUGUUUGAUCUCAAAUCAGGUAGGACUACCCGCUGAACUUAAGCAUAUCAAUAAGCGGAGGA